rnacentral:lncRNA from 1 species
GGGUGGGGGGUGGGGGGGAUGUGUGACAGACAACUUGUCACAUUGUCCAAGUCCAUAGGAGUGCAUUCUCGAGACCAUCUGGUGCAUGGACAUACUGUGCCAGUGUGUUCCGAGCAUGAACACAUGAGGCAUAACAUGCGGAAAAUCAGGCUUACGCCAUGAGAAGCAGUCCAUGAUCAACACCACCCUCAGCAAGGAGAUUUGCUGUAUAGGCAGGGAUGACUGGGGCCUACAGCAAGUAAGACACUGGAGUCUUGACCUGACUGUAGUUCGGCGUCGUAAACAACUUCAGUGGGAAAAUGCACACCAUCGAUGGCCGCUGGCAUGCUGGAGAAGUGUACUCUUCCCGAAUGAAUUCCGGUUUCAACUGUACAUGGCAGACAGCGUGUAUGGCUUCGUGUGGGCGAGCAGUUUUCUGAUGUCAACGUUGUGAACAGAGUGCUUCAUGGUGGCGGUGGGGUUAUGGUAUGGGCAGGUAUAAGCUACAGACAACGAACACAAUUGCAUUUUAUUGAUGGCAAUUUGAAUGCACAGAGAUACUGUGAUGAGAUCCUGAAGCCCACUGUUUGAUUCAUCUGCCGCCAUCACCUCAUGUUUCAGCAUGAUAAUGCUCAGCACGAUGUCGCAAGGAUCUGUACAUAAUUCC